GCAUCUUUGACGGUUAGAGUAUUCAGCUUCCGAGCAUCCAAACACAGCCUGUUUUUUCCAGGCUUACGGACCAGCGUCACUCGAUUGCUCCACGGGCUUUCGCUCAGCUCGAUUACUUCAAGACGCAACAUUUCGUCGACUUCCGCAAACAACAGCUCCUGUACCGCCGGGGAUACCGGGUAAAAGCGUUCCUUUACUGGCACGGCUCCCUCCACCAGGCGUAUCUCGUGUUUUACCAUCGUCGUCCUUCCCAAUCCGUGCUUGUCAAAGCACCGAAUUUGUCUUUCACCUGUUCCAUGCGUACUUGCUGCGACUGGGUUAAAUUAUGAGGUUCAGUCGGCCUACUUAUCGUCAGCAGCUCUGCCUCGAUCUCUUUUAAUUCCUCUUCUCGUUCCAGGCCUACUAUCUGCGGAGCCAAUCCAACCUUUCGCCAGAAAUCGACCCCCAGAUACAGUGAUACAAUUGCGUCGUGCUCCUUCUCCCGUUUCCCGGAUGACAUUUCGGACAUUUAGGGAGGAUUACCCCGGCAGACCCACACUUGUAGCAGAAUAUGUUCCGCACUUCUGACUCACACUCAAAAUAGGUGUGUCCUGGCUGCGCACAAUUCCAACACUUCAAUUGUCCCCUGUCACCUCCCGGAUCCUUCGUCCUAUAGACGGCCUCUAGUGCCUCUGUCCGCUCCUCCGGCUCGUGAUUUGCCGCCUGAACCUCAUGCACUUUGGGAUCUUCCCUGCGCCUAGCACCCCCAUAGUCUGGACCAAUCCUUGCCCAUCGGGUCGCCAGAAGCUUCUCGGCCUCGGCACACUCUUCCCGCACCUUCUGCAGGUUCGGAACCUGCAUCGGGUAAGUCACCCUCGAGAUGGAGUCCCUGACAUUUAUCUUGAUGAUCUUAAUCAGCUCGUAGUCCGAAAAUGGAUUCACCAAUCUCGACUUCAACAACAGCAUCUCCUGGAUGUACUGGUCUGUCGACUCCCCGUGUCGCUGCCGUCGUUCUCUGAGCUCCUGCUCCAGCUCGAACUCCGUCUUCCGCACCUGAAACUGUUGCUGGAGUCCAUAUCUCAGACUAGGCCAGUCCGGCACUCCUGCGGUCCGUACAUACAUCCAGUACCAGUCUCUAGCAUGGCCCGUAACCAGAGUGUGAAAAGCUUUGAAUACUUCAGCCCAUGCUUAUCUUAUCUUUUGUACGGGUCUGGCCACUGAUUUUAUUCUUUUACUUUUUCUUUAGGUUCCCGACCGAUCUCUCGUAAUUCUUCCCGGAAACUGACCCUCUCAAUAUAACCUUGACGGCCACGUUUCCUUCUCUUCUCAUUGCCACCUUGCAACCCUUUUUCAGCCUCCCCGGAUCCACAGCAGAGGCCGCUGUCUGAUCUUCUUCUCCAGCCCUGUCGGUUAUCGGCUACUUCAGAAAGCCGUCCAUAACAAGCCUAGUACUUCUGCAAUACAGAUCGAAAAAAAGGGCCGCUAGAAAAAUCAGGGAUGAUAUUCGUAUGGAACCGAUAAGAAAUGUCGCGCAAAAACUACUUUCUAGCUGCUGUACGCCAGAAGUAACCAAAUAGAAUAGUCGACGCUCAACUUCAUACAAUCGAAACGUCACCGCUGAAUGUGCGUCUCGGAGUAUCAGGCCUCUGCCAAAGUCCCAGCUACAAGUAUUAGUGCGUGUAGAACACGCAGCUAGAAGCCCCAGCUACAUGUGUAUUAGUGCAUGUAGAGCACGCAGCUAGAAGCCCCAGCUACAUGUGUAUAAGUGCGUGUAGCCAAUGAUUUUUAGCGCUCCAAACCGUUUUUUUCUUGAUUCACACAGCCACUGCAAGUAAUGUAUGUGUUGGUGCGCUGACUUUCUGAACUGCGAUGGAACGAAAAUUCGUUUUGAUGAUUUAAUUUUGUUUUCGGGACUUGGCGUAUGAACCUGACCUAUCGCAACAUGUGCNUGUGUAUUAGUGCAUGUAGAGCACGCAGCUAGAAGCCCCAGCUACAUGUGUAUUAGUGCAUGUAGAGCACGCAGCUAGAAGCCCCAGCUACAUGUGUAUAAGUGCGUGUAGCCAAUGAUUUUUAGCGCUCCAAACCGUUUUUUUCUUGAUUCACACAGCCACUGCAAGUAAUGUAUGUGUUGGUGCGCUGACUUUCUGAACUGCGAUGGAACGAAAAUUCGUUUUGAUGAUUUAAUUUUUUUUUUUUUUGAGGUUUUAAGUUACCGCUCUACCCUUGGGUAGAGGGGAAUUAUUUGGCCACCCGCCUUUCAAGGGGGAAAUCGCCACGUCGUAAUAUGUAACUUGUUACAGGUUUGCUCCAAUACUUACCUGGCGUAGAGGUUAUGUUCCCCACGUGCUUGCAGUGUGCCCAGACACACGCUUCUUGGUUGUUUUAUGAUUUAAUUUUGUUUUCGGGACUUGGCGUAUGAACCUGACCUAUCGCAACAUGUGCAGAAUGAGUGGUGGUGGUUGGUGCCCGGACC
rnacentral:lncRNA from 1 species